GGGUGGUUAGCUCAGCUCGGGAGAGCGCUUGCUUGACGUGCAAGAGGCCGCUGGUUCAAGUCCAGCACCACCCACCA
rnacentral:tRNA from 1 species